AUUUCUCAAGAUUUAACCAAGUUCCCUGGUCAACUUCCAAAAAUCCUAAAAGAUUCUUAAUGCUUAUGAACAACCAACAGUGGUCCCAAGGAGCUUUUUGAUCUGAGAUGCAGAAUGUGACCCUCAACAUCCUCUGAAGGGACAGAGUGACCAGGUAUCUAGAUUCCUUAGAUUGAGGCGGACUGUCCCCGAAAAGAGCUUCCCC
rnacentral:lncRNA from 1 species